UACAGAGGUGGCCAGCGUUGUUCGGAAUUACUGGGCGUAAAGGGCGCGUAGGCGGUUCGUUAAGUCCUGUGUGAAAUCCCCCGGCUCAACUGGGGAACUGCACAGGAAACUAGCGGGCUUGAGUUCGGGAGAGGGAAGCGGAAUUCCGGGUGUAGCGGUGAAAUGCGUAGAUAUCCGGAGGAACACCGGUGGCGAAGGCGGCUUCCUGGACCGACACUGACGCUGAGGCGCGAAAGCUAGGGGAGCAAACGGG
rnacentral:rRNA from 1 species